UACAGAGGGUGCAAGCGUUAUUCGGAUUUACUGGGCAUAAAGGGCGCGUAGGCGGUCUUACAAGUUUGUUGUGAAAGCCCCCGACUCAAUCGGGGAAGUGCAUCGAAUACUGUAGGACUAGAAUGUAGGAGAGGAGAACGGAAUUCCUGGUGUAGAGGUGAAAUUCGUAGAUAUCAGGAGGAACAACAGAGGCGAAGGCGGUUCUCUGGACUACUAUUGACGCUGAGGCGCGAAAGCGUGGGGAGCAAACAGG
rnacentral:rRNA from 1 species